UAGAGCCGCCGGGAGGGCUCCGGACGCACCCAUAACGCACCCCAUAACACACCCCAUGCUGACCCCCUCUGCCCGCUCUCACGCUGUUUAGAGUGGUUACACAUUAAUCAGUUAGCUGUGUUAGCUGUGACUGCAGUUCCAACAGCAGGGUUAAUAAUGGUAGGGCUUAGCUAGCUGGUACAGCAGGUAAGUGGGUUUGCGUGAAGUGUCACCGGUGGAAUAUGAGAAGUGAGUCCUGGAGAGAUGGGGAGAUCGGUGGUGUUUUCUCCUCUUGUUGAGGGGCUUCUGAGUGUACUGCUAAGAGAAGAAUAAGAAAGUAAUUUGGCCUUCGUCAACCUACUUGCAAAAAAAGAACAAGUAUGCUUUCUGUGGAUUUCAGACGCCAUUCAGACCAUGAUCGAACUAGUUGCAUUAUAGCCUGAGUCAGGCAGAUUUAUGAUGUCAGAGAUUCAGAGGUCACUGAGCAGACCUCUGAAUCAUGAACACAUUUUUAUAUUUCUGCCUACCCAGACAGUUAAAAUUUAAAAAAUGAAAUGUAGUCAGAAAGCUUGGUCACCUCGUCUCACAGACAGGGUGAAUCUCAAACGUAGCCCUCCUGCUGCUCAUUUCUGCAGUGCUAAAUCUCCUUCUCCCUUGAUGGCUGCAGCUCUGCUUUAAUGUGAGUGAAUGUGGGCUGUGUGGUGUCCCCUUCAGCCCUGUACUGCUGUGUCACCCUAACCGGGCUCAGGUGAUUGGUGUAGCUCGGGAAUGAUUAUUGUGUCAUCCUAACCAGGCUCAGAUGAUUGGUGCAGUUGGUAGUGAUUAUUCUGAGCUGCAUCCAUGCCUGGGGGGUGGUUCCACCAGGACCAUCUUCCUUUGUCUCCCACUCUUCCUCCUCCCUAGCUUCUGGGGAAAGUGCAUCUCUGUGAUGUCACAGCAGUGCUCCCCCUGCUGUUGUGAUAUCACAGCAGCGUUGUGAGAGUGACACUUGUUGCCCCCCCUCCCCCCAAAACGCUUCCCCCCAACAUCCCGCCUCCCCAGUCACCAAAGCACACCACUGCGCAAGCUCUCAGGCUUCAUAGCACUUUGACAUUCAUUCACUUGUUCAUAAAUCAUCCACCCAUGUGUUCAUUGUAGCAUCCUUUCAUUGGCUUUCUAACGUGGAUCGUGUGGUACGUGGAGUAAUGAGAUUGAUGAUAACCUCUAACCAGAUCACUGUGUGACCAGGCUGCAUUGUGCUACUGGCGUAGGGAGCGAUUUGCACUUUACAUUUAAAAUGUAACAGUAUUUAAUUCAAAUAACCAGAGCUUACAUUUUCAUGGCAACCCCUUGCUUUUAACAGAAAAUUAUGCUUGGGUACUUGGAAUUGUCUGUGAGUGUGUUGGUUAACCACAGGGAAACAGCUCACACCCAUGUUUUUAGAUGCUGUGGAGAACUAGCAUGUAGGCUGUUUUAAUUCAGAUUUUUGUUUCUUCAUAUUGUAAAAGUAGCUGUAUAAGCUCUGUUGCACUUUCCUUUUAAGAGAUAAUUUCAGCUUGUUAGUGUUUGUCAGACCAGGAGCCAUAUCUGGGUACUGUGGCCUCCUUCAUGUAAGCACUUAGAAGGCAUGUGAUAAGGGAGGUGAAGCAGUGAACUGACUGCAGUGCCACCAGUUUCUUGUGUUCUUCCAUAGCAGUCAAUGCCACUCAUUAGAUAGUUAAUAGUGUUCUUAACAAUUGGCUCCGAGCAUGGGGAUGACGGCUAACUGUAGUACCUGUAUCCAUUCAAUGGAAUACCCAGUUGCACUACUCAUACUUUAAAUUUUUUUAAUGGAAUGUAGUGGUUUGCUCUCAAUAAAUAAAUAAAUAAAAUAAAUAAAAUGAUCUAGUUGUGAAA